rnacentral:rRNA from 1 species
UUUAUUGGAGAGUUUGAUCCUGGCUCAGGAUGAACGCUGGCGGCGUGCCUAAUACAUGCAAGUCGAGCGAAUGGAUUAAGAGCUUGCUCUUAUGAAGUUAGCGGCGGACGGGUGAGUAACACGUGGGUAACCUGCCCAUAAGACUGGGAUAACUCCGGGAAACCGGGGCUAAUACCGGAUAACAUUUUGAACCGCAUGGUUCGAAAUUGAAAGGCGGCUUCGGCUGUCACUUAUGGAUGGACCCGCGU